UGUCAUAGAGAAUUACUACUUAAAAUUCACACUAGCUAAUCUUUCAUACUAACUACUAGAGCUCACAACAAUUUAAAUAAGUCUUGUUGGAUUUUUAUCAUAGACAUGGCAUAAAAAAUAGCCAAUAUCUCAAUGGGUGAGUGUCGUGGAGUUUAGUAACAUCCUACGAACACUGAUUAAUUUCCCCAAAAUCAGGGUUUCUGUAACUGCUCAUACCUGAAUUCUAAGAACCGUAUUUCGUGAAAGAUUUCUCUGACAAAAGUUUAGAAUUCAAAUAUGGGCAGUAAUUUUAACCAAUGGGAUACCAACAAUUAUGCUUGUUCAGGCAAACAACCAUUACAUCAUAUUGCCACCUUUUAUGACUUGCUACACUGCUUUAUUCUCUCUUACAUUGACCUUACUUUUUUCCCUCAAUUUCCUUUUCUCUGUCCUCUUGCUCUCUCUCCUUUACCUUUUCUCUCUAACGUUGUAUUUGUUUCUUUUACGCACCUUUCCUCUUCCUUAUAACUAUUUCUCAGUUUCUCUCCCUCAUUUUCCCCUUCUUCUUAUUUUGUAUUACUCUUUCUUUCUUCCUAACACUGUCUGUUCUUUCUCUCUCUCUGUUGUCUAUCAAACUUUCACUGAUUUUCUGUAAUUCCAGAAAUAAGUCUAUCCAGUGAUUUCAUAACUGGUUUCUGUGGUGAGACAGAGGCAGCUCAUCAUGACACUGUCUCCUUGAUGAAAGAGGUCUGCUACAACUUUGCCUUCACUUUCCCAUACAGUAUGAGGCAGAAAACCCGUGCUCACCAUCGACUCAUUGAUGAUGUUCCCAGUGAGAUUAAAGCCAGGAGACAGACUGAACUGGCAGAGACAUUUCGCAAAGGAGCUUUAGAACUGAACACAGAGCAGAUUGGGCAGUUACAAAUUGUUCUCAUCAGUGGAAUGAGUAAGCGGUCUCAACUGGAUCUUGCUGGCCGGAAUGAUGGCAACACAAAAGUUAUUGUACCACAGACCAAAAUACCAAUUUCUGAUGAAGCAGAGCCAACAAGAACAAUAGAAGUGGGUGACUACAUUGUUGUUCGACAGGUUCUAUAUGAAAGUAGUUCACCAUCUUUCAACUGAGCGUAUGUUUCUGCCCCCUGCUGAAGGACAAAUUCAACAGUGGAGGCAAAGAGAUCACACUUGAUUUUCUUGUUUAGCCCAGAAAUUCAUAUUUUACUUAUGUCAUGCAGAAUUUACCAGCUGCUUACAUCACUGUUGUUGGUGUUGAAGAUCAAUAUAACCGGUGCCUCUUCUCAAGUGCUGAAAGGUGAACCUCUCUACCACACAACUUUGGUAAACUUCAGCCGAAAACAUACCCUCAAAUGAGUCCAAUAUUGCUACAGUUAAUUGGUCGUUUGCUUGAGUAAUGGGAGUGAAAUCUACAUUUCAGCCUCAUCAAUUUGCAGUCCACUUUCAACUGUCGGUGACUAACAUCAGCUGCAACUAUGAAAAUAUCCAACUAACAAUCAACCUGCAAGAGAACACAACUAAAUCUUUCUCAAGUCAACCCUACCAUCUUAAAACAAAGCAUUAAAUUGUAUAACUUAGAAUACAAUAAAAAGCAGUGAGAAAGAUGAUACCUGCAAAGCCCAAAGAAUGUGAAAGAGUCCUGUACUGCCUCAGAUUGGCUUUAUUUGGAAGAACUAUGGCCUAGGAUUGAACAACAAUGAAAAUAAUUUAUAAUAUACAAAAUAAAGCUAAAUAAACAUCACAUUUAUUAUCACAAUAUCAUUUCUUCUUCUGACGCUUA